rnacentral:rRNA from 1 species
GACGAACGCUGGCGGCGUGCUUAACACAUGCAAGUCGAACGGAAAGGCCCUGCUUUUGCGGGGUGCUCGAGUGGCGAACGGGUGAGUAACACGUGAGUAACCUGCCCUUGACUUUGGGAUAACUUCAGGAAACUGGGGCUAAUACCGGAUAGGAGCUCCUGCUGCAUGGUGGGGGUUGGAAAGUUUCGGCGGUUGGGGAGGGACUCGCGGCUUAUCAGCUUGUUGGUGGGGUAGUGGCUUACCAAGGCUUUGACGGGUAGCCGGCCUGAGAGGGUGACCGGCCACAUGGGGACUGAGGGACGGCCCAGACGGCAACGGUAGGCAGCAGGGGGGAAUAUUGCACAAUAGGCGGAAGCGUGAGGCAGCAACGCCGCGUGCGGGAUGACGGCCUUCGGGUUGUAAACCGCUUUCGCCUGAGACGAAGCGGGAGUGACGGUAAUGGGUAAAGAAGCACCGGCUAACUACGUG